rnacentral:tRNA from 1 species
GGGGAUUUAGCUCAGUGGUAGAGCGCUUGCCUAGGAAGCGCAAGGCCCUGGGUUCAGUCCCUA